UGUGAUGCCCUUAGAUGUUCUGGGCCGCACGCGCGCUACACUGAAAGGAUCAGCGUGUCCUUCCCUUUCCGAGAGGAACGGGUAACCCGCUGAACCCCUUUCGUGGUAGGGAUCGGGGCUUGCAAUUCUUCCCCGUGAACCAGGAAUGCCCAGUAAGCGCAAGUCAUAAGCUUGCGUUGAUUACGUCCCUGCCCUUUGUACACACCGCCCGUCGCUACUACCGAUUGAACGUUUUAGUGAGGUAUUUGGACUGGACCUGGGUGGGUUAACGCCUACCUUGUUGUCCGGGAAGACUCCCGAACUUGAGCGUUUAGAGGAAGUAAAAGUCGUAACAAGGUUUGC
rnacentral:rRNA from 1 species